rnacentral:misc_RNA from 1 species
GAUGAAGAACGUAGCGAAACGCGAUAGUUAAUGUGAAUUGCAGAAUUCAGUGAAUCAUCGAGUCUUUGAACGCACAUUGCGCCCCUUGGUAUCCCGAGGGGCAUGCCUGUUCGAGCGUCAUUUCACCACUCAAGCCUGGCUUGGUGUUGGGCGACGUCCUCUUUGGGGACGCGCCUCGAAACGCUCGGCGGCGUGGCACCGGCUUUAAGCGUAGCAGAAUCUUUCGCUUUGGAAGUCGGGGCCCCGUCUGCCGGAAGACCUGCUCGCAAGGUUGACCUCGGAUCAGGCAGGGAUACCCGCUGAACUUAAGCAUAUCAAUAAGCGGAGGA